ensembl:misc_RNA Y_RNA Y RNA
GGCUUGUCUGAUGGCAGUGUGUUAUCAGAACUUAACAUUAGUGUCACUAAAGUUGGUAUACCACCACCCCCCCCACUGCUAAGUUUGACUGUCUUAA